rnacentral:rRNA from 1 species
AGCGAACGCUGGCGGCAGGCUUAACACAUGCAAGUCGAGCGGGCACUUUCGGGUGUCAGCGGCGGACGGGUGAGUAACGCGUGGGAACGUGCCCUCUGGUUCGGAAUAACUCAGGGAAACUUGAGCUAAUACCGGAUACGCCCUUUUGGGGAAGGGCUUGCUGCCGGAGGAUCGGCCCGCGUCUGAUUAGCUAGUUGGUGAGGUAACGGCUCACCAAGGCGACGAUCAGUAGCUGGUCUGAGAGGAUGAUCAGCCACACUGGGACUGAGACACGACCCAGACUCCUACGGGAGGCAGCAGUGGGGAAUAUUGGACAAUGGGCGCAAGCCUAAUCCAGCCAUGCCGCGUGAGUGAUGAAGGCCUUAGGGUUGUAAAGCUCUUUUAUCCGGGACGAUAAUGACGGUACCGGAGGAAUAAGCCCCGGCUAACUUCGUG